rnacentral:rRNA from 1 species
CCUGGCUCAGAACGAACGCUGGCGGCAUGCCUAACACAUGCAAGUCGAACGAACCCUUCGGGGUUAGUGGCGCACGGGUGCGUAACGCGUGGGAACCUGCCUUUAGGUUCGGAAUAACUCAGAGAAAUUUGAGCUAAUACCGGAUGAUGUCUUCGGACCAAAGAUUUAUCGCCUUUAGAUGGGCCCGCGUUGGAUUAGAUAGUUGGUGGGGUAAUGGCCUACCAAGUCGACGAUCCAUAGCUGGUCUGAGAGGAUGAUCAGCCACACUGGGACUGAGACACGGCCCAGACUCCUACGGGAGGCAGCAGUGGGGAAUAUUGGACAAUGGGCGAAAGCCUGAUCCAGCAAUGCCGCGUGAGUGAUGAAGGCCUUAGGGUUGUAAAGCUCUUUUACCCGAGAUGAUAAUGACAGUAUCGGGAGAAUAA